UACGGGGGGAGCAAGCGUUGUUCGGAUUUACUGGGCGUAAAGGGCGCGUAGGCGGCCACCGCAAGUCGAUUGUGAAAUCUCCGGGCUUAACCCGGAAAGGUCAACCGAUACUGCGGGGCUAGAGUGCAGAAGGGGCAACUGGAAUUCUCGGUGUAGAGGUGAAAUUCGUAGAUAUUAGGAAGAACACCAGUGGCGAAGGCGGCUCACUGGCCCGGUACUGACGCUGAGGUGCGAAAGCUAGGGUAGCAAACGGG
rnacentral:rRNA from 1 species